ensembl:Mt_tRNA
ACUCCUGUAGCUCAACCCCAAAGCACUGGCCUUGUAAGACAGAGAUGGAAUACACACACCUUCCCAGGAGUA